rnacentral:miRNA from 15 species
GUGAGCAAAGUUUCAGGUGUGUC